rnacentral:lncRNA from 1 species
AUAACUAAUUACGGAUUACUAAUGGCGCCCAAACCGGACAUUGUUCUCUGUCAAUGUAUUACCAGAUGCAUGUUUAUUUGUUUGUGUGAUUAUGUUUGCUUUAGUAAUGGAGACUAAAGGAAAACAUGAAAGGGGUGUGAUUAAAUAAACAGAUAGAAUGGCAGCCUUACUAGAUAUUCUGGGAGAUGAUGGACGGACCGUGUAUAUGGGGAAUCCUACCGUGAACGUUGUCUCAUACCGGACAGGGUAUUGAGACUUGGUAAUUUGGUGCUCAUACCGGACGGGAUAUGGGGACGACCCCCUUCACCCUCAUACUGGAUGGGGUAUUGAGGUUUAAUGUCUUGGCACUCAUACUGGACGGGGUAUGAGAACGGCCCUGUAAUUGAGAUUGUUAAAAGAAAGGGUUCACAUGUAGCGGGAACAUCCCUAUGAACCCCCAUGGAUACUAGUAGGCUGGUG